CUCUCCUGCCUUUUACCUUCCCCUCAGCUCCCCCCUCCAUGGCUCAGGCUCUGGCAUGUUGGUAACUCUCACACUGACGCUGACUCUCCUGGGACACAGCAACAGGGCCACAGACACGUGACUGACUCCUCCAUCCCACCCUGGGGCCCUGGGAUCCAGGCUGCCCUGGAGGUCCCCUCGAGGUUUCCCUUCACACACUACAAACUCCUCGGCUUCCCUCCGCAGCCUCCUAGAGCUGCUCUUCUCAAGCCUCCUUUUGGCUCUUACAGACUCAGCUUCUAGUGCUGCCUCUGACACUGACAAUGGGCGGGACUUUGGGCCCCUCCCUCCUCUGUGGGUCAGUUUCCUCCUGUAACUGACCAGAGGUGGGCUCUUCCUUGUCAUGUGACUUUCAGCCCUCUGUGCUCUCUCUUGGGCUGCUCUAGGAGGUGGUGACAUUCCAGGAUGUGGCUGUGGACUUCACACGGGAGGAGUGGUGCCUCUUGUCCCCUCCUCAGAAGGAGCUGUACAGGGAGGUGAUGCUGGAGAAUGCCCGGAACCUGCUCUCUGUGGAAAGAGAGAUCAGACCUGAAAAGUAGCUGACGGCAACAGAGGUGAGCCUCUCUGUGGAAGAAAUGAACCUACAAAGAUUUAUUAGUGAUGGUCCCGAUAACUUUACUUUCAGAGAAUUCUGUGUUGCACCUCAAAAUUCAUCUCAUAUUGAACAUCAAGGAAUUGAAGCUGGUGAAAAGUCUAGUGAAGGUAUCAGUGCAGAAAGACUUUUAUGCAUAGGGCCAUUUGUGUGGGACAUCAGAGAAGGCAGUCUCUUAAGAAACCUUAUGAAUGCAAGCAGUGUGGAAAGACAUUCACUCUGCGCUCCCAUCUUGCUAGACAUCAGAGAAUCCACACUGGCGAGAAACAUUAUGAAUGCAAAGAAUGUGGAAAGACAUUCAGCCAGAGCUGCAAUCUUGCUGUAUAUCAGAGAAUCCACUCUGGGGAGAAACCUUAUGAAUGUAGUCAGUGUGGAAAGACAUUCAGUCACAGUGUUCCUCUUCCUCAACAUCAGAGAAUCCACAAUGGGGAAAAAUCUUAUGAAUGCAAGGAAUGUGGGAAGGCAUUCAGACUGAGCUCUGGUCUUGCUAUACAUCAGAGAAUUCACUUUGAGGAGAAACCUUAUGAAUGCAAGGAAUGUGGGAAGACAUUCAUACAUCACUCCAGUCUUGCUGUACAUCAGAGAAUCCACUCUGGGGAGAAACCUUAUGAAUGUAGUCAGUUUGGAACGACAUUCAGUCAGAGCUCAAAUCUUGUUGUACAUCAGAGAGUCCACACUGGGGAGAAACCUUAUGAAUGUAGUCAGUGUGUAAAGAUAUUCAGUCACAGUUUUCUUCUUGCUUGACUUUAGAGAAUUGUAACAUUUAAAAGUAGUUGUCUGCGAUAAACUAUGGCCAUUGAAGAUCAUAAACUGUAAGAGUUAAAAUGGUUGAGGUUAUAAACUGUAGUGAGUAAAAUAGUGGAAGAUAUAAAUUAUAGUAGAUAUAAGAGUGGGUGAGUAAAUUUGUGACCACAGAAAAUAUGUUUCACUACAGUGUCUUGGUUUUAAAUCAAAUAUAAAGUGGUUGCCAGGGAAAUAUUCCCAAUUAUGAAUAUACCCAAGUCAACUGGGUUUUAUAGAGAUUUUAAAUUAAUAAUACAAUGAGGAAUUAAAGAAAAAGAGAAGGAGAGAGAAAAGGAAUUAAUGAGAAAAAGAUAGACCGGCCCAGGGUAGCCCUGGCCAACCCAGGCCUAAGUCCUAAAAGAAAGGAUCAGUUAUUCAGUUAUCACUCACCAUAAGAUCUGCUCAAGCGUGGAUUCUGGGGGACAGUCUCCCCAGAGGGAGUUACAGCCAGAGUCAACCUCCCUUGAGAGACCUCCUUAGAGAUUUCCUCCAAAAUAUUCUUUCUCAAGAGACCCUCCUUAGAGCCUGUCUCUCAAGAGCUCCUUCCCAAGUGAUCUCAAAAGAUCCUCUUCUUAGCAGGCCUUUUCUUAUAUAGGGUGUUUUCUCUUAUGUCACCUCCCCUAAGUUCUUACAUCUACCAGUCACAGUAGACAUUUUCCAAAGGACAGCCCAUUCUGAAUUCACAGCUGAGUCGACUAAUCCCUUUAGUAAGUUUGAACCAGAAAAAACUUCUGAAUAAGUUUUCACCUCUUUGCUCCUGGCAAGUUUACAAGUUGCCUGACCUUUAAUAGGUACUUAGCACCCCAUUGUAUUAAUUCUAAAAAUAGGCAUGGCUUAAAGAACUUUUUGCCUCAUUAUAAGUAUGGGUUUAAGUACUUUCAUUGUUUAGCAAGGAGUUUUCUCCCCUAAAUCAGUCUUAAGUAUGGGUGGAGUAGAGGUCCUCCCAUUUCUAAUCCAAGUAGAGUUCUCACUGUCCAAAUGGGGAAUAUUCCCAGUAGGGAAUUGUUCCAAUGGAGAAAUCCCCAAAGGGGAAAUUUUUAACAUUCACAAGUCUGAGAAAUUUCAAGUUUCACAGAAUUCACACUGGGGAGAAAUCUUGUGAAUGUAAGCAAUGUGGAAAGACAUUCACACAUUACUCCAGUCUAACUAGACAUCAGAGAAUCCACACAAGGGAGAAACCUUAAUAAUAAAAGCUAUGUGGGAAGAUAUUCAGUCAGAGGCCCAGUCUUGCUGUAUAUCAGAGAAUCCACUCUGGGAAGACACCUUAUGAAUGCGACCAAUGUGGAAAGUCAUUCAGUCAGAGCUGCAAUCUUUCUGUACAUCAGAGAAUCCACUCGGGGGAGAAACCUUAAUAAUAAGAGCUAUGUGGAAACAUGUUCACAUGCAGCUCCAAUCUGGCUAUUGUGUGAAGGAAAUUUAACCUCCCCCUUUCUGGAGCAGUAUACACCUUGUGUGAGCCUGAACUUAACUCCAGUGAGGAUUGUGAUAGAAACCAUUGAGUGAGGAUAGAAUGGCAACUAGAAAAAGUCAGCAAUAGAGUUGAGAGAUCAGGAGACAACAACAGGGUGAUGUCCCUGCAGUGCCCCAUGGACUGGCCCCCUGGCAAAAAAGAUAGCCAUGGUUGGCUCCUAGGAUGAGAAUUGUAAGUUAGUGCUGUAAAAAUUGAGAUUUUGAACCCCAGACAUCAAUCUCCAGAAGUCCUUGGUAUUUCCCAGAAUCCCCUAUAAUCUCACCUGAGUCUCCACCUUGGAGAGAUCAGAACAAAUAUUUAAUUGGCAGUCUCUGCCUCCCUCUCGCUCGGCCUAGCCACAUGCUUUCUUAUUUUGUAUUUUCUUUAUUUCUUAACCUUUAAUAAACCUCAUAAAAAUAUAAUACUUCUAGCAGAGAAACUAAUAAUAACUGCUACAUUUUGGCUAAAUUUUAAUCAUAAGAGAGCCUGGCCAGAGGAGAAGACACUGGGACUUUUGGCUCUGGGUUUACUGUGCAGGAAAGAAACCUCUUCUCUGGAUUCCUGACAAAAAGAGACUGGCCUUUUCCUGACUUGGGCAGAGAGAGAGACCUUCAUGGUUUUGACAGAGUCUGGAUUUGAGUUAUUUGAGCAGAGAUUAUCUGACUGAAGAAAGAAGAAAAGAAGAAAAAUACUUGUCCUCCAUCUCUCUGGCUGUCUCUGAGUCACAACUGUGACUAGACUGACAUUUCCUAAGCCCUCCUAGUUCUCCUUGUAGAUUAGGGACAACCUCAUCCCUCUUACCUCACUUUCAGUCCUCAUCCUGUUGUUCCCAAUAAACCGCUUUACCUGAGAAUAGGAGAGUAAAGAAUAUUUCUCUUAA